AGAGUUUGAUCCUGGCUCAGAACGAACGCUGGCGGCGUGGAUAAGACAUGCAAGUCGAACGGGAACUUUUUUGGUAGCAAUACCGAAAAAGUUCUAGUGGCGAACGGGUGCGUAACACGUGGGCAAUCUGCCUUAAAGUGGGGGAUAGCUCGGCGAAAGCCGAAUUAAUACCGCAUGUGAUCAGAGGGGGACAUCCCUUCGAAAUCAAAGUCGGGGCAACCUGACGCUUUUUGAGGAGCCCGCGGCCUAUCAGCUAGUUGGUGAGGUAAUGGCUCACCAAGGCUCUGACGGGUAGCUGGUCUGAGAGGACGACCAGUCACACUGGAACUGAGACACGGUCCAGACACCUACGGGUGGCAGCAGUCAAGAAUUUUUCUCAAUGGGGGAAACCCUGAAGGAGCGACGCCGCGUGGAGGAUGAAGGUCUUCGGGUUGUAAACUCCUGUCAUUUGGGAACAAGUUGGACGCCGUAACUGCGCGUCCAUUGAUAGUACCAGAAGAGGAAGGGACGGCUAACUCUGUGCCAGCAGCCGCGGUAAUACAGAGGUCUCAAGCGUUGUUCGGAUUCAUUGGGCGUAAAGGGUGUGUAGGUGGCGCGCUAAGUCGGGUGUGAAAUUUCGGAGCUUAACUCCGAAACUGCAUUCGAUACUGGCGUGCUUGAGGACUGGAGAGGAGACUGGAAUUCAUGGUGUAGCAGUGAAAUGCGUAGAGAUCAUGAGGAAGACCAGUGGCGAAGGCGGGUCUCUGGACAGUUCCUGACACUGAGACACGAAGGCCAGGGGAGCAAACGGGAUUAGAUACCCUAGUAGUCC
rnacentral:rRNA from 1 species